UUCAUGACUUUUCUUUUGAAGAAAGAAUUCCAUGGCUCAAAAAGAUUUGAGAACGACUGGCCCGCCUCAUAGGCUGCUAAGACACUUGGGGACUAUGCACGAAGCAUCUGUAUCUCCACAGCCAAUGAUGCCAGGAGGACUUCAGCCACCACCUGGACGCGGACACCCCUCCAGCCUGCAGCUGCGGUUCUAGCCUUUUCCCCGAUGUCAUUUCACAUACACGUUCCCGGUCGUCCUCUGUUUAUUGCCAGAAGCUCCCCACACCCUGGUGUCUGAGAUGCAAGUGAAGACUUACCUUCUGGCAUCUCCCGCCACAGUUAACGACCCCCCGCCCCCACCCCGUCACCUGGCUGCCCAUCCUGGACUCGCCUCUGUCCUCGGCCCCGUCCAGUCCAGUGACCAGGGCUCCGAUCGCCCCGGUGCGGUCAGGUGGGCUAUGCUGUGUGACAGGUGGCCCGGAAGCCUCAGUGGCUCCCCAUCUCGAACGUUUGUGUCUUGCCCGCGUGCAGUCUGACGUGGGUGGGGCACGACCCCAAGCGGCUCGCCUCCAGGUAGCCUCUCGGAGAUUGUUCCAGCUCUAGGCCUGCCAGCUGGAGCCCACGCCUCUAGGAUUGCUGCGGAAGGGAAGGGGCACGCCAGGGGACACUGCCAGACGCCGGGGAAAGGCUCACGUCACCUCUGCCCCAUCCCACUGACCAGACCUCAGCCCGUGGCCCCCACGCUCCCUGCCAGGGGAGCAGGCGAUGCGGUGCCUUGUGUGCUCGGGGGAGGAGAUGAGCCGGUGCCCGCGGCGUCUCCUCCGCCUGCCGCCCUUCCUUCUGCCUCUGCCGCCACCCUCACGGCCACGGCCCUCGUCUCGGCCCGUGUCAUCUCUACCCGGACCCGGGGGCACCCCUCGCGGCAGCAGGAACGUCUUUCUCUUCCGCGGACACCCCCGCCUCCUGCUCACGCUCUUGCGGAGGUGCGACUCCCGUGCCCCGGGGCCUCCGUCCAUUCUCUCUUUCAGCAUCGACCCAGGCGGGCGGCUCUCAGCCCCUCCGCUCUCAUUUCCCACCGCCGUCCCCGACGCAGCUUUCUCUCCAGAGGCUACGGGCUCCUCGCGGUUCCCCAGAUGGCCCGCUGUCUUCUCAAGUGCCCCACCUUUGCCUCCCAGCGGUCUCUCUUCUGGAAGGUGGCCUCGGAUCCCCAUGCCAGAGCCAGCCCACAGGUUUGCGUGCUCCGCUGCGGCCGAGACAGAGGCUCUCUCCUCUGGGCUUCCAGAGCCCUUCCCAGCCCUGUAGGCGGACGCUUGUUGCAUUUUUUUUGGGGGGGGGUCAUCGGGUCAUCGCUUCGCAGAGAAUCUGACCCUACCCGCUGACCGAAGGUGACCCGGGCUUCUGUGUGCCAAUCCCCGUGCUCGGAACAGCGUCACAGGUUUUGACUCACUGGGUCCUCACGAGCACCCUGUGCGAGAGGGACGACUGCGGUUUCUAUUGAAAAUCAUGGUGGGGAACCUGAGGCACAGAGAGGUUUGGGAACUUGCUCCAGGUCACACAGCCGGCAAGCGGUGGAGGCAGGUUGGCUCCUAGUCCGCAGGUGUGGCCGCGGCCUCUGUCACCGACUGAGCACUGCGCUCUUUGCCCACAGAAGGCCAGUCGCUGAUGUUCGGUCAGACGCACACGUGGGCGAGUUGUGUUUUCGGGUCGUCUUCAACCUCCCGCUCUGCCCGCCUCCACCCUCGCGCCUCUCGGAAGUCUCCCUGUCUUCACUUCUUGCUCCGAUCCUGUAACUUAAGAAGUAAGAAAAUAAAUCCACGAGACUUUCA